rnacentral:misc_RNA from 1 species
GAUGAAGAACGUAGCGAAAUGCGAUAAGUAAUGUGAAUUGCAGAAUUCAGUGAAUCAUCGAGUCUUUGAACGCACAUUGCGCCCCCUGGUAUUCCGGGGGGCAUGCCUGUCCGAGCGUCAUUGCUGCCCUCAAGCACGGCUUGUGUGUUGGGCCCCCGUCCCCGGUUCUCCCCGGGGACGGGCCCGAAAGGCAGCGGCGGCACCGCGUCCGAUCCUCGAGCGUAUGGGGCUUUGUCACCCGCUCUGUAGGCCCGGCCGGCGCCAGCCGACACCCCUACUUUAUUUUCUAAGGUUGACCUCGGAUCAGGUAGGGAUACCCGCUGAACUUAAGCAUAUCAAUAAGCGGAGGA